rnacentral:tRNA from 1 species
CGGGAUAGCUCAGUAGGUAGAGUAUGAGACUGAAAAUCUUGUUGUCACCAGUUCAAAUCUGGUUCCCGGC